rnacentral:rRNA from 1 species
AGCAGUAGCCACGGGAAUACGGAGGGAGCUAGCGUUAUUCGGAAUUACUGGGCGUAAAGCGCACGUAGGCGGCUUGGUAAGUUAGAGGUGAAAGCCCGGAGCUCAACUCCGGAAUUGCCUUUAAGACUGCCGAGCUAGUAGGUGAGAGAGGUAAGUGGAAUUCCGAGUGUAGAGGUGAAAUUCGUAGAUAUUCGGAAGAACACCAGUGGCGAAGGCGGCUUACUGGCUCAUUCUAGACGCUGAGGUGCGAAAGCGUGGGGAGCAAACAGGAUUAGAUACCCCGGUAGUCCCUGUCUCUUAUAC